UACAGAGGUCUCAAGCGUUGUUCGGAUUCAUUGGGCGUAAAGGGUGCGUAGGCGGCGCGGUAAGUCGGGUGUGAAAUCUUGGAGCUUAACUCCGAAACUGCAUUCGAUACUGCCGUGCUUGAGGACUGGAGAGGAGACUGGAAUUUACGGUGUAGCGGUGAAAUGCGUAGAUAUCGUAAGGAAGACCAGUGGCGAAGGCGGGUCUCUGGGCAAUUCCUGACGCUGAGGCGCGAAAGCGUGGGGAGCAAACGGG
rnacentral:rRNA from 1 species